CUACAUCCUUUUAUCAUAGCAAGGCUGAUAUUUUUCUAAAAUUAUUAAAAUAUUAAUAAUUAAGCACUGUAUUAUUUUUUUUUAUUUGAACAGUCUAUAAAGGACCUCCUUCCAGAAAGUUACAGCAAAUAGCAACAGUUAUCAGCCUGUCUGCCAAGUGCUUUCAUAAUUAAAGCUAAUAGCUGUCCCAGAGGAUUAUAAGGACCUUGGAGUGUAACAUCUUUAGAUAAACCGAGGAAACAGACAUUCAUUUGAACUUGAGCUGAAUGAAGAUCCACAAGAGUUAGCUGAAAAAGGUCACAGGAAUUCUCCUUUUAUUUUUUAUUUUUUUUAUUUUGUGUACGACUGCUUUCAAAGGUUACAAUGAAACGAUAAAGCGUAAGAACCAUAAAAGAAAGCAUCUAAAAACCCCAUAACAAUAACAUAUCCCCUCCCACAAGCUUUUUGUUCCCCUGAAAAAAUUCUAUAUUCCCCCCACUUCCAAAGAGAAAACCAAAUCUUUUAGUGUCUUUUUUGAUCCAUUUGGUCUGGGUCAUUAGUAGGGAAAGUUGUGCAAAUGACAAAAACUCAGUGAGAAGAGAGAAGCUGCUGGUUGUGCUGGACAGAAGACUCUGGACAGCAAAAGGCUGAGUGGCUGCCGGUCAGAGGGAGUGUGACACAAAUCUUGGCACUUUGCAGAGAGCAGCAGCUCCACUGGGCACCAUUCUGGAAACCGAGAGGUCAACGUCCCACACAGGUAACAGAAAACCAAAUCUGGGAAGUCCAUUUACAGCUGGGAAUGGGAUUGGGGGUUUGGUGUUUUGAAAUGGGUUUUCUGGGGGUUUGUUGUUUGUUUUUUUUUUCACCAAAUCAUAGCAUCAUACAAUUGCAGAUACAGUGCAGAAGAAGAAAAAUUCAUAGGCAUCUAAUGAAGUCAUUACAUUCAAAUUGGUAACUUAAAGGGGUUAAAAAGUGUAUUCUUUCACUCUCCAAUUUCUGUUACUUAUAAAUAAGGUUUCAAAACUUCAGUCCAGUGAGACUUAAAAGACUAAAUUCAAGAAUUAUUACCUGAAACAUGAAAAUUAAAAUGUUCCUAAACAGUCAGUUCAAAAGAAGACAUUAUAACAAGCUUACCUGUCAAUAGUUACAAUAUCAUCAAAGUUACAGAAUUAUUUUGAAAACAAACACAAAUAUACAUUUUUAAUUCAAAAAAAAGCAGACUGAUAAGAAAUUAAAUUCUCAGAGAAAGUAUCUGAGUUUUCCAGGAACUCCUAAUUGCUUCGCUGGCUUUCAUGGUACAGAUCUAUGUAAAUAAAUCAGAAGUGAGCUGAUAUUAAGUAUUAGCCUGUAUUAGUUUAAAUCCAGUUUCUAUACAACUAGAACAUCAAAGCUUGUUAGAAUUUAUACAUAUAGCAUCAUUUAAACACAGUUCAUUGAUUUCUUUUAUCAUUUUCAUGAUGUUUGUAGUAACAUAAUGCAGCAGUUCCUCAAAAUAAAAACAUCAGGACAACUAUGUAAAAUCCAUGUAGCCUCUCUCAAAAAUACUUAAAGACUUAAACAUGAAAUUGUAUUGCUAGCAGAAGUUAUAGCCACUGUUUAGGUGAAGAAGUAGUAUGAAAAAUUAAGAUGAGAACCAUUUGAAAUCAUGACUUUCACAAAGCAUCUUAAAAAGUACAUAAAAAUAUUUACUAUGUCAACUAUGAAAUACUAAUAAGAAGGAACAGCCAGAGAUGUUGUUUAGUCCAUUACAGGAAAUUCCCUCAAUAUAUUUCUUUUUAGAGAGCAAUCUCCAACAGUUGUGCAUAACAGGCAAAAGAAUUUUAGAAGCAGUAUUCACAGAUAAAGAGAAUCAGCAGCAAGGCUACAGAUAAUCAUCUGUGGGAAGUGGAAUUCCUUGACUUUGUUUACAGCCUCCAAGAAUCAAGGUCCUGGAGUUUAUCAAGAUGUCUCUGGUGUGGCAGACACCAUCCACUGAGGGCAGCCUCCAGUAACCUCUGCAGGAAACUGCCACUAACAAGUCAGACGUGUCCAGGAACUGAAGUCUGGAAAAGCUUCUAACUUCAAGAUCUUUACACACUGUUUUCCUAAACUGGGAAGCUGACCUUUGUCUCUUGGAGUCAUUCUAGACAUUGCUGACAUUGUCAGCUGUCCAACAACUUUGAGAAAAUCAGUUCAUCCAUAGCUUCUGCACCAGCUACUUGCAUGGGAGAAGGACACUCCUAAAAUUCUCCCUGGAGAGCUGCUGAAUUUAGAACAGUGAAAAAAACCAGGAUGAUGCUGAGGAAAAGGAUUUUCUUCUAGUGAGAAAAAUGCUCAGAAGAACUUUUGUGACAGUUUAAGUGAGACAAAAAGGUUUUAGUUUUCUUGCUGAAGGCUUUUGGCAGCAAAAGAUGAGACCUCUGCACUGCAUACUUCAAAUAUGAGAGAAAACUGAACUGUCUAUUAUUUUUUAUUGUCUAUACAAAUGUCUGAAGGUGACUUGUCCAGGUGUCAGCUUGUACACUAUAGGCAUCUGCAGACAGUUGCAACUCAUGUCAAAAUAUGCAUUUCAAGAUGGUAAAAGCAGUGACAGAAGAGUUUUAUUAACCAUAAAUGAUUUUGAAUAUUUAUAAAUAAAGAGUAUACAUAACAUAAAAUAGUAUAUAUACACAAAAACUGCAAAACCUCUCUUUUAUCAGUAAGUUACACACUUGGGAUGGAAAUUGGUAUGUUAGUCCCUGGCCUACUACAAGCACUAAACAGUGUGUUUUGGAUAAAGGGCUAGGGUGAAAAGGAAGAGAGAAUGGAAGGAUAAAUUAAAGAAAGAAAGAGAGAGGGAAAUUUACAUUUUGUUAUUGAAUAAUUUAUGUUAAUCUUAUACAUGUGUGUAUUUUCCAUGUAAGUGGGGUGAAUUCUAUUUAAUGUUCAUCAAAAACCAAAAAGAUAAUUGGUUUAUUAUUGUCUGUCAAUAAGUAAACGUGUUAGGGAGUUCUGAGAUUUGCUUGACAGGA